rnacentral:rRNA from 1 species
AUUGAACGCUGGCGGCAGGCCUAACACAUGCAAGUCGAACGGUAACAGGAAGAAGCUUGCUUCUUUGCUGACGAGUGGCGGACGGGUGAGUAAUGUCUGGGAAACUGCCUGAUGGAGGGGGAUAACUACUGGAAACGGUAGCUAAUACCGCAUAACGUCGCAAGACCAAAGAGGGGGACCUUCGGGCCUCUUGCCAUCGGAUGUGCCCAGAUGGGAUUAGCUAGUAGGUGGGGUAACGGCUCACCUAGGCGACGAUCCCUAGCUGGUCUGAGAGGAUGACCAGACACACUGGAACUGAGACACGGUCCAGACUCCGACGGGAGGCAGCAGUGGGGAAUAUUGCACGAUGGGCGCAAGCCUGAUGCAGCCAUGCCGCGUGUAUGAAGAAGGACUUAGGGUUGGAAAGUACUUUCAGCGGGGAGGAAGGGAGUAAAGUUAAUACCUUUACUCAUUGACGUUACCCGCAGAAGAAGCACCGGCUAACUCCGUG